UGGGGAAUUUUGGACAAUGGGGGCAACCCUGAUCCAGUAAUGCCGCGUGUGUGAAGAAGGCCUUCGGGUUGUAAAGCACUUUUGUCCGGAAAGAAAACGCCGUGGUUAAUACCCGUGGCGGAUGACGGUACCGGAAGAAUAAGCACCGGCUAACUACGUGCCAGCAGCCGCGGUAAUACGUAGGGUGCAAGCGUUAAUCGGAAUUACUGGGCGUAAAGCGUGCGCAGGCGGUCCGCUAAGACAGAUGUGAAAUCCCCGGGCUUAACCUGGGAACUGCAUUUGUGACUGGCGGGCUAGAGUAUGGCAGAGGGGGGUAGAAUUCCACGUGUAGCAGUGAAAUGCGUAGAGAUGUGGAGGAAUACCGAUGGCGAAGGCAGCCCCCUGGGCCAAUACUGACGCUCAUGCACGAAAGCGUGGGGAGCAAACAGGAUUAGAUACCCUGGUAGUCCACGCCCUAAACGAUGUCAACUAGUUGUCGGGUCUUCAUUGACUUGGUAACGUAGCUAACGCGUGAAGUUGACCGCCUGGGGAGUACGGUCGCAAGAUU
rnacentral:rRNA from 1 species